rnacentral:rRNA from 1 species
AACGAACGCUGGCGGCAUGCCUAACACAUGCAAGUCGAACGAAGUCUUCGGACUUAGUGGCGCACGGGUGCGUAACGCGUGGGAAUCUGUCUUUGGGUUCGGAAUAACAGUGAGAAAUUACUGCUAAUACCGGAUGAUGUCUUCGGACCAAAGAUUUAUCGCCCAAAGGUGAGCCCGCGUAAGAUUAGCUAGUUGGUGAGGUAAAGGCUCACCAAGGCGACGAUCUUUAGCUGGUCUGAGAGGAUGAUCAGCCACACUGGGACUGAGACACGGCCCAGACUCCUACGGGAGGCAGCAGUGGGGAAUAUUGGACAAUGGGCGAAAGCCUGAUCCAGCAAUGCCGCGUGAGUGAUGAAGGCCUUAGGGUGUAAAGCUCUUUACCAGGGAUGAUAAUGACAGUACCUGGAGAAUAAGCUCCGGCUAACUCCGUGCCAGCAGCCGCGGUAAAGUGACUACUG